CAACGGCAGCGGCGGCAACACUUGUUGGAGGGCGAAUAUAUAAAUAAACUACAACAAAUAUAUUUAACACUGGAAUACCAAACUUUAUUAAUAUAACUAAACUUCAGUACACUAUUACUGGAUAAUACAAUUUGAUCCACACUUCACAACUCUAAACAAACAAAUUACAUGCCCUCUAUUUAUAGAGCAUGAAAGGAUACAACUAUUCACGAAACGACUCAACUCUUCACCAAACAACACAACCUUUCACUAAAGGACAUGACCAUAAACCAAAAGACGCAACCUUUACAAAAGAACACACCCUUUCAUAAGAAACACAACUCUUCAAAUAAAAAAUAAACAAAUAAAACAAGCUUAUAAACUAACAUUCCCCCUUAAGCUUGUUUAUGCAAAACUGUCGACAUAUUUUUCGAUCGGGUCUUCAUAAUCUUGGAGCCUUUCCUGUAAGACUAUCUUGUCUGAAAUCAAACUCCUAAUUUUAGAGGCCUGCUCAUUGAUUACAUUCUCCAGGGAUUUAUUCUCCAAAUUCACUGCCAUAUUUUCUUUUUCCAAAUUUUUUGCAAGUUUCUCUAAAUACAAAUUUCUUUGAUCAAGAGAAACCAUACCUGUGGUACUCAUAAAGCAAAGUGAGCCACAUUUUGUUCCGCAUCCUUCUUUGAUCUUUUUACAUCGCCCAUAUAAGUGGAAUUUCCGAAUUCGACAAAUGAAUAAAAUUCUGGAAUGUGAAUAGGUCCUUCUUGAUAAGUGCGAUAUUGUGGCAGUAGCAUCUUCAUUUUCUGACAGUAUUCUUGAAGUAGAUUUUUGUAGGACACUCUUACUAUCACUUUAUUCUCCAUGUUUCACUUUCCUUUAAUGUUAAGUUGCUUUAAAAAAAAAAAAUCAACUAUUCAUUCACUAUUUAUAGGCAUGAAAAACUUUCAAAAAACAAAAUGACACAUCUCUUUGAAGUGUCCCAAUUCAAGAGACACAACCUUUUAAUUUGAAAUAUUCUUUUUUAAACAAAGAGACAUGUCUUUUCAAAAAAUAGUUAUGUUAACUACUUUAUGCAUUGGUCAACAAGUCCACACCAUAUUGCUUUUUAAAGUGAUUGUUGCUAGCAAUUGGCUUAGUUGCCGGCAUCGUAAUCUCCUUUGAUGGUCCUUCACUAUCGAAUGCACCUCUGUCUAUUAACUGUUUUUGGUUUUUUUUUUUGUUUUUGAUCCAUUGAAAACCGAAUCCAACAACAGCACGUCAUCUGACAUUUUCAGUAUAUUCUCUGGCCCUGUUCGAUUUGUAAUUUCAGGGUUUUCAUCACUCAAGCAUGGUUGCUGACCCUUAGGAGCACAGUUAUUUUUUUCUUCCCUAUCUGUUCUUCUUUUUUGUCUCACUAUUUUCUGGAGCUUCCUGCUUGGCUCCAACUCAACGUCUGCAUCAUUACAAGGGAUAAUAUUUUUCAGUCUUUUCCUUCCCAACGAAGUUACCACUGUUUGUAUACUUCUAACAUUUUCAGCUAAAGAUGAUUGAAUUUCCUUCUUUUCCUCCCUCACUUUGUGCAACAACUCCCUUUGCUCCUGCAGCUUUUUCCUUUGAAUAUUAAGCAAUUCAAUGGAGCUUUUGAUUUCAGAUAAUUCUCUCUCCCUCUGUUCGCGAUCAAGAGCAAUCUGCUUUCUCUCACUAGCGAGCAUCUCCAACUGCGAUGCUAUAUGUUCUAGCUGCAUUUUAAUCAUAUCCUUUUGGGAAGUUAUAUACUGAAGUUCUUUAGCUUUCUUUUGCUCAAAUUCUUCCUCUUUAUCUCUUAAAGAAGUCUCAAUUUCCGCCGCUCUUUGAUUAAUAUUUCUUUCCUUUGAAUUUCAAUAUCCCUUUUAAAUUCUUCUCUUUCUUGUUGAAUCUUAUUCAACCAAUUUGCUUGUUCAUUCUGCAAGUUAGUCAUAAAUUCUUCACCAUUUUUUGAUGUAAACAUAAUUUUUCUGUUUUCUUUAACAGGUACUUUGGAUGAAUCAUCAAACUUCACAUUGCCAUCAACAUUUUCAUCCAUUUCAACAAAUAGUUCUCUACUUCCACACAUAUGAUUUGAAGCACCAGAAUCCAGAAACCAUAUAUAUUCUGGAUCUUUAACUUCAGCUUGACAUGCAAGUAACAAUGAUGUUUCUGCAACUUCAUCUUCUAUUGUACUGUCGAUGUAGUGAUUUACUCCUUCAGUGUCCUUAUACCAGCAAUCUUUGCUGUAGUGACCAUAUUUUUUACAAUUAUAGCAUUGUAUAUUUGAUUUUGCACCACCAUAAGACCCUGGGCAAUUGUUAUUUCGUCCGCCUCUUUUUGGUCCAUAUUCAUGUGGUGAAUAGCGACCACUGUUGUUGCUAUUCUGUCGGUCAUUGUGAUAUCUCUUUUGAUUCUUAUAUCUAUUAUAAUUAUUUUCUCCAUGAUUUUUGCCUUUUCUAUUAUCAAGUUUCAAUUUUGACUUGAGAGCCUGCUCAGUCGACUCUUCUUCAGACAUCUUUUGUAGUCUUUGCUCAUGCACUUGGAGCGAUCCUGUCAAUUGGUCGAUAGAAAGAGUACUGAUAUCUUUUGACUCUUCUAUGGCGACAACAAUAUGCUCAAACUUUGAUGUGAGGGAACGAAGAACCUUUUCUACAACUCGUUCAUCAUUUAGUUCUUCUCCAUUUCGCUUCAUUUGGUUGGCAAUUACCAAAAUGCGAGAAACAUAGUCCGCGACACUUUUGGACUCCUUCAUUCGGAUUGCUUCGAAUUCCGCUCGAAGCUUUUGUAGACGAAUCCGCUUUACUUUGUCAUCUCCUGUAAAGACGGUGGCAAGAAUAUCCCAUGCUGCUUUGCUCGAAGUUGCUUCGGCAAUUUUCUCAAACGUCGACUCGUCUACUGCUUGGUAAAGAUAGAAGAGCGCCUUUUUAUCCUUCUUUCUUAAAUCCUUCAAAUCGUUUCGUCGUGCUAUAAUUAAUGCAGCUUCUUCUUGCUCUGUGUAUUCCUGGUAUCCAGUUUUAACUAAUUCCCAAAGGUCUAGAGAACCGAGAAGUGCUUUCAUUUGAAUACACCAAUUCUCAUAAUUAUUUUUUACUAAUUUUGGGAUUUGAGUUUGGAGAAGUUGUGUGGCCAUUUUUUUUUAACAGAGUUUCGUUCUGGCUCUGAUACCAAUUGUUGGAGGGCGAAUAUAUAAAAUAAACUACAACAAAUAUAUUUAACACUGGAAUACCAAACUUUAUUAAUAUAACUAAACUUCAGUACACUAUUACUGAAUAAUACAAUUUGAUCCACACUUCACAACUCUAAACAAACAAAUUACAUGCCCUCUAUUUAUAGAGCAUGAAAGGAUACAACUCUUCACGAAACGACCCAACUCUUCACCAAACAACACAACCUUUCACUAAAGGACAUGACCCUAAACCAAAAGACGCAACCCUUACAAAAGGACACACCUUUUCAUAAGAAACACAACUCUUCAAAUAAAAAAUAAACAAAUAAAACAAGCUUAUAAACUAACAGCACUGCUGCCAUCCGCUUCAACCUCAUUUUCGUCGAGAAAUGCCGUCGCCGCGGCAAUAGCAUCACGGAGUUCGCGUUCCCAGUAGAGACGAAGAGCUUCUGCCGGCAUGCCUACGAGUUCCUGAUGCCGCUGACGGCCGCCAGAGCCGUUGGGGAGAUGCUGGCGGAGGUCUGCCUCGACGACGAGUCGCGUGAGCAGUUUGGAGAAGCGAUUGUGGAGUACGUGCAGGCGGAGAAGGUGGCGGAGCAGGCGGUGGUGGUCUUGAGGGGGAGCAGCCUGGCGGUUGUCGAGGCGGCGAUGGAAGUGGUCACGAUUGUGUACGACGACGACAACGACAGCGACAGCGACAACGAUGACGACGAUUAUGAAAAAGAAAAUCAAACAGUAUCU
rnacentral:lncRNA from 1 species